AACGAACGCUGGCGGCAUGCCUAACACAUGCAAGUCGAACGAGACCUUCGGGUCUAGUGGCGCACGGGUGCGUAACGCGUGGGAACCUGCCCUUAGGUUCGGAAUAACUCACCGAAAGGUGUGCUAAUACCAGAUAAUGUCUUAGGACCAAAGAUUUAUCGCCUUUGGAUGGGCCCUCGUUGGAUUAGCUAGUUGGUAGGGUAACAGCCUACCAAGGCGACGAUCCAUAGCUGGUCUGAGAGGAUGAUCAGCCACACUGGGACUGAGACACGGCCCAGACUCCUACGGGAGGCAGCAGUAGAGAAUAUUGGACAAUGGGCGAAAGCCUGAUCCAGCAAUGCCGCGUGAGUGAUGAAGGCCGUAGGGUUGUAAAGCUCUUUUACCCGGGAUGAUAAUGACAGUACCGGGAGAAUAAGCCCCGGCUAACUCCGUG
rnacentral:rRNA from 1 species